AGUUAUAAUAUCAUAGUCACUUACAAGGUAGAUAGAUAGAUAGAUAGAUAGAUAGAUAGAUAGAUAGAUAGAUAGAUAGAUAGAUAGUGAUGUUGUUGUUGUUUUUUUCAACAACAGUUGUUUGGUGUGUUAGGUAGAACAUCUAAAGACUCUGCUUACUGUAUUUAGACACGUUGGAGAUUGUUGGGAAUUAAACAAGUUUGGGUAGAAGUGGCUGGCUUUGGAGGAAUCUCCAGUUUUGAGAGAGAUGUUAGGAUUAAACAAUACACUCAGCCCUCACUCCACCACCAGAAUCCAGUCCAUGGAGUUCAUGCACACAUCCAGUUAUGAGCCUGACAGUGAGGAGUGUGAUGAGUUUGAGGACAUGAG